rnacentral:rRNA from 1 species
UCUGGGAGGGGCCCGCGGCCCAUAAGCUUGUUGGUGGGGUAAGGGCCCACCAAGGCGAGGACGGGUAGCCGGUCUGAAAGGGGGCCCGGCCACACUGGGAUUGAGACACGGCCCAGAUUCUUACGGGAGGCACCAGUGGGGAUUAUUGCGACAAUGGGCGAAUGCCUGACGCAGCGACGCCGCGUGGGGGAUGAAGGCCUUCGGGUUGUAAACCUCUUUCAGCAGGGACGAAGCGAAACUGACGUACCUCCAGAUGAUUGGCCCCGC